AUAUUAAUUUUUACCGUCCUCUGUCAUAAUAUGGUGUAAAGAGAUCUGGAUUUCCUAGACAUCUUGCACAUCCCAAGUCUGCGGGUGAGUGCCAGAGACCGUCAGAGCUGGAAGGAGGCCCGCGGGCCGGUCUGGUUCUCCUGCCUUCAGGAAGGGAUCUGAGAAAAGGGCACGGAUGUUCUCCCCCCGACAUGCAGAACAACUGAAAGAGGCCAGAAGCCAGAGCACUGUACCUCCUCUGAGGUCCAAAUCCGAGGCUGCAGUGACACAACAGGAGGAAGGAAGCAGAGAGUCAUUCCCCGGAGUCAGGCGGGGCUCGUCCCACACUAACUGGAGUUCUUUCCCAAUCCCUGAAUUUUAAUUAGACAGAAGCCCCCUCCCCAUUUUCUAAAGACAAUUUCCAGCCUCCCUUGCAGCCUGAUGUGUCCUUGUGAUUACGCUCUGACCAGUGGGCCACCCAGUCUUCUGUUGGCACAGUGG
rnacentral:lncRNA from 1 species